rnacentral:rRNA from 1 species
GGGCGAAAGCCUGAUCCAGCAAUACCGCGUGUGUGAAGAAGGCCUUAGGGUUGUAAAGCACUUUCAAUUGGGAGGAAAACCUACCGGUCAAUACCCGGUAGCUUGACAUUACCUUUAGAAGAAGCACCGGCUAACUCCGUGCCAGCAGCCGCGGUAAUACGGAGGGUGCAAGCGUUAAUCGGAAUUACUGGGCGUAAAGCGUGCGUAGGCGGUUCGUUAAGUCAGAUGUGAAAGCCCUGGGCUCAACCUGGGAACUGCAUUUGAAACUGGCGGACUAGAGUUUAGUAGAGGGGAGUGGAAUUUCAGGUGUAGCGGUGAAAUGCGUAGAUAUCUGAAGGAACACCAGUGGCGAAGGCGACUCCCUGGACUAGAACUGACGCUGAGGUACGAAAGCGUGGGUAGCAAACAGGAUUAGAUACCCUGGUAGUCCACGCCGUAAACGAUGUCAACUAGCCGUUGGUCCUAUUUACAGGAUUAGUGGCGCAGCUAACGCAUUAAGUUGACCGCCUGGGGAGUACGGGCGCAAGGUUAAAACUCAAAUAAAUUGACGGGGGCCC